rnacentral:lncRNA from 1 species
CCUGGCGCCCUUCAACCAUCAGUCCUCCAGAGCGCGCGCCACCGUCGCCAAGGCCAGGUCGACGUCAGCUCGGAUCCCACCUCGCUCCUGCCCAUCCCCACGGACGCCUAAAGCACGAUGGCGCCGGAUUGCACACGAGCGAGAAACAGCAAAGAGCCGUAACAAAAGAAGGA